GAGAAGGAAGAGUGUAAGGGGGUGCUGAGUCUGCUGACUGAGAAAAGAGGAAGCGGCAGCGGCGAGCAGCGGCAACGGGAGCAGGAGCAGGAGCGGCGAGCGACGACAGCGGCAGCGGUUGCGAGUAGCGACAGCGGCGAGUAACGGGCGCGGGAGCGGCAGCAGCAACGAGCAGGGUUAGCCUGUUAGGGUUGGGCAGCGAUAGCUGAUAUCGAUUUUAGUUGGUUCGAUUGAACCAACUAACCACCGGAGACCGAACCAGAUCUAAAAUCCUAGUUCAGUCGCCUGGUUUAACACAAGCGCUCGCCCGAAGCGCCCAGCACCUGGGCUCGGGCGAGUGCCUCUUUGAAGUGCGCUGCCUGGAAGUUUAGCGAGGCGCUCGGGCCUCGCCUCGCCUCGCCUCGCCCGAGCGCCUAGGCGAGCGCCCGAGCGCCUUUUUAAAUCACUGUCUAACACAUCAAAUUAUUGGAUGGUAAGGAAAGUUUUCCCUUUGAAAGGAGGAGAGCGAAGAUCCCAAUUACAUGUAAUGAUUAGCAGCUACCUUGCUACAAUGAGGAACCAUACUUUUCUCAUCUUUUUUUUAUUUUUUAUUUAAGAGUCAUUUGCAUUGUUAUCUCCUUGAUAUUAGAGAUUUGGCCCUUUUUUCUUCUUUCUCUUCACCCUUUUCUUCUUUUUUGCUUGUCUUUUGGGGGGUUACUCUAUCGCUGCAAUUGAACUGAACCAGUAAUUGAACAUUUUGCCUUAGUUAUUUUCUUUUAAUUUAAUUUUUAUUUUGAUCGUCUCUUUAUUUUUCAAUGUAUGAUUUCCACUUUCUAAUGCCUUCUUCCAAAUAGGUUGUGCUACAAAUAAGGUCUCCAGAAGGAGAAGACUUGUCCAUGCUUAAAGGCCUCCACGUUUAAGAUGGCAUUUGCAUUAUCAAAAUGAUCUGAGCUAUUAUGGAAAAUUAGCUGACACAAUUAGGUAGUUUUACGUAGACUAAUAAGAUGAAUAUCCUGGUCAACAAUUUUCUCCGAACACCUAAAGUAAGCAAAAGACAAAAUAGCAGGAUAGGUUUAAAUCAAGAAGAACCACUUGCACUAUAAUCAAUGGGCCAUAUACAACAAAAAAUCAUGUUGUUUGGAGUGCAUGCACGUUAAAUAUUCAAACUUGCCAUUAUUGUUCAAUGCUAUGUUUCUUCGAAUUUGACCAUUGUUACAUGAAGGCCAUGUACAACAUCCAACACAUUUGAUACUUUUUAUAUGCAAAUUGAGAAGUAAUUUCUAGUUGUUCAACACAUGUUUUAUGAUCUCAUUUCACAAAGUUUCCAUUUCUCUCUUGGAUACAGCCUUGAUUCUUCUUACAGGUGUUAGUCACACAAGAUCAAUCUUAUUUGAAGUUAAUAAAUUAUCUCAAAGUUGUUUAUGUGGCAUAUUGACUUGCAAUUUCUGACAGUUUUGUUAGUUAGAAUCAUGAUUAUUCUGUAGGACUUCACUGGGAUCUUGAAUAUUCAAAGAACUUCAAUAAUGUGGACAAGUCAAUCAUGCAAUCCUAUUCCUGCAAGUACAGAGGCUAUUUUUGUGACUUUAACUGUGGUCAUCCAACAAAUUUACUGUAGUGCCAAAACUUAUCCCCAAUACAUGAAUAAUUACGUUCCUCUAAAUUAAAAAAAAAGGAAUAUGACCAAUUUCUGAAUGUUAGAUUGUAUAGAAAUCUAAGUCAUAAACUUUGAGAUCAGCAUUGAUGUUUGAGAUGGGAUCAGGAUUAUGAGUCUAGCAUUGAACUUGCAUCAUGUAGAGCAGACAGCUAUGUUUGUCCAUUUCUUUUUCUCCCAGAGGGCAACCCUGCAUCUAACAUCACUGAUUGGCAUCAAUGUAAAGUCUAGCUUGUCCAUUUCUUUUUGUGCUCUUUGUAAGCAUGCUCAUGGACUCAUAUUUGCAAGGUAUAAUUGGCAUAUCCCAUAUUGGCAGGAGCCAUAUGUUCCAUCCUUUCUUUUCUAUUGGCAGAAAUUUUAACCUAGUGUUGCAUGUAUAAUUUGUUUGUUUUUGUUUUUUGGUUUAAAGUUCCAGAAAUGCAAGAUGUUACUGUUCUGCACUUCUAUGACAAUGUGGAGCAAGUUAAUUUUGUAAUUUUACUGGUCUCGGAAGGUGCUGUCUAAAUUACAUGUUGUUCAUACAGCUACUUGUGAACUGCUAAUAGUUUUUUUUCUUGCUGAAGUGAAUCAAGCAUGUUAUUCUCCAAUCCGUGGAAAAAUUCUUUGGACCCCAUAUUUAGUGUUCUCUUUGACUGCUUGCUGCUGUAGCUACAUGGAAUCAGAUUCUGUGAAAAUUGCUGUUGAAGGAGUUUGAAUUGUGUAAGAAUGAAAACUGUGAUUUGUUUAUCAUGGACACAAGCAAGCAUCACAGACAGGAAACUUCUCUUUUUAAAGAAAUGCAUCUAGUGUCAGAAGCAACGCUGUUGAUGUAGCACAAGCUUUCUUACAAACGUAGCAGUUGGAGCUUUGGUGAAGCAGAAGGAGCUGAUGUAUUUAGUGUGCAAGCCAUCUGUUGAUGAACUUGGUAUACUGUCAUGUUGAGGUCUUGUCUUGCUACCUGGUUUAAUGCCCAAGUGAUCCCUAAAGGCCAUGAAAAGGAAUGUCAACCAACAAUCAAGCUUUACACAACGACUACGAUGAUGAAUUCCAUGACAAAUGCAGAGCCUGAAUCUGAUGAAUGAAUGAAGCCUGUGCAUUAUGGAUUGCGAAAAUGCUUAGAAAAGGGAUUUGUAGCAAGAUGAUGCAGCUCAGGAUGCCAAAGAAAGGUGAAUUGAGCACAUUGUCCUGGAAUACGUGAAUGCACAGCUCAUGAGCAAGGUCCUGCCUCAGCCAAUAGAAGAUAAUCCCAAGUAUUGGCAUGUGAGUUGUCGCUCCUGCUGGGAUUAAUCCACGGUUUCUCUCAGACAAUCUUUGAUUAAUUUAUGAUGUCUUUGCCUUGUUGUGCCUCCUUGCAAUUAGUAUGAUUAUUAUGGAGGUUCAAUCUACCAGCCCGAGUGUCCAAAUAAAAAAUAUUAGAUAUUUGGGUUAGAUUUAAGAUGGCUUUAGAUACAUGAAUGGAUAAGGGAAACUUGCAACCAUUCAGGAGUGGCAAUAGAUUUCUUUUUUCGUACU